rnacentral:lncRNA from 1 species
UCAAAUCAAAUGUAAAUAUUAAGCAGUUAAUACAAUACUUCAAACCAUCCCAGAACCCGGUGUCACAAGUGUAUGAGCAUCUACUGAUAAUAGAAUAAAAUACAACAUCCGUCCGGAAUACAAUGGACCAGAAGUAAAUACAGUACACUAGAAGGGACUGCUUUAGCUGCGGCCGUCUCGAAUGAUGCAGCUCACCUAGUCCCAGAAUUUUUGCUAUGCCCAGUAGGCCACUGGAGUUACAUAUACCUGUGCAACAAAAAUGCACAACAAGUGUAAGUAUGAGUAUGAAAACAAUAUGUACCCAAUGAGUAUACGCCUAAUCCCGAAGGGGUAGAGACGAGAUGGUCAACUUUGCCACAUACUAAUGGUCCAAUAAUCAUAUACUAAAACGUGAGGACUUCAUGGAUUUAUAUAGCAUGCUCUAGUUUAUUAAGCUGUAAAAUAGGUAAACACCUUUAAUAAUUAGCAAAGAAUUUUCAAGAUUUCUUUUCUUUUAUCUUCUGCGAUUUAUGUCGGGCCAAAAGGCAAUAUCAACAUCAAGUACUUCAAGUAGCAAUAUAAACAUGCGCAUAUCAUGCCGAGGCUAUGGCCCGAUCCAACAGAAAUAUUAACUGUGCACAGUCGAGUGUCGAACGGCCCAAACAAAUAGAUGCAUCUAUUUUCCCACGCUUGCGAAUCAUCCAUGCGACGUGGUUAACAUAAAGUAAACAGCUACCCUGCUCGCGAAUCAUCCAUGCGGCGCAGGUACACACAAGAAUACAUGAUCAAACACUCAACUAAGAAUUAUCCGGGAACAUCUUAUCAAAUAAAAACCAAUUCCUAUUUUAAAAAUUUAAGAAAAUGAAGUCUAAUCCUUUUUGAAAUUCAUUUACUAGUUCAAUUUGGUUCUAACACUUCAAAUAUCAAUAAGAUUGCAAAUAUCUCAAGUAUAGCAUGCUUUUGGGUCCUAGACUACCUGGACAAUAGCAUGAUAGUAGCUACGCACGGACUCUAGUCACCUUGUGCAUAUAUAGCCCCCACACAUAGGAGCAUAUAUCUAAUUUAACUCACAUACGGGGUAAAUUCUCCCUCAUAAGAUUCGAAAGGAGACUCACCUCGCUCCGAAGACUCAUAACCGGCAUUCUACAGUUUUCUGAAGGCUCGAACCAACGCACAAAGCUCCAAAACUAGCCAAUAGUCAUACAAAUCCAUUAAUAUAUGCUCUAUUACACUUUACAACCCAAUUUGUAAUAAUUCCUAACCCCGAACGAAAACAUGACAAAUAUACCCUUGGGCCCAUAUGCCCGGAAUUAGAAAUUUCUCAAAGAUAAAGUAUACUUAUGAACUUACGAACUCAAAUAUAUUAUUUUCUCUUAAUUCCAUGCUUAAAAUCGUGGUCAAAAUUCAAGAACACUAUUUUUCAAGGUCUUCCUCUAACCCUCAACUUCCUACCCAUUUACAUGCAAAAAUCUAUACAUAGUCAAUGUAUUUAACUCAUAAUAGGUGCGAUUAGCUUAAUUUAUCAUUAAUGAAUGAAUUCCUCUCUUUAAUCCUCCAAGAAUCGCCCCCAAGCCAAGAAAAUAUGAUAGAAAUGGCCAAUUCACAACUUUUAAAACAACCCUUCUGCCUACAGUUAUUUCUGCACCUGCGGCCUCUAGACCGCUUCUGUGGUUCCGCAGGUGCGUCUCCACUUUCGCUUAUGUGGAUAACUCAUUAGGCCUUCCAAUCCUCUUCUCUGACUCUUCGACCGCAUGGGCGGUCCCUCUUCUAUGGAUGUUCGACCGCAUCUACGAUCCUCUCCACUUUUGGUCCUAAACGCUUCUGCGGUUCAAUUCUUCUGCUCUGCGGGGCCGCUUCUGUGGUCCCAAAUUCGCAGAAGCAGAAAUACCAGAAGAAGCAGCUCCAGCUCUUCUUCAAACUUAAAAUUUGAUCUGUUAGCCACCCGGGAUACACCCGAGGCCCCAGGGACCAUCACUCAUACCAACCAGUCCCAAAAUACAUUACGACUUGCUCGAGGACUCAAAUCACAUCAAACAACAUUAAAACCACGAAUCGACCUCCAAUCCAAGCUUAAUGAACCUUGAGAUUUCAAACUUCUAUUUCCCAUGUCAGAACCUAUCAAGCCACGUCCGACUGACUUUAGUUUUUGCACAUAAGUCAUAUUUAACUUACGGACCUACUCCAACUUUCAGAAUCAUAUUCUGACCCCAAUAUCAAAAAGUCUACGUUCGGUCAAACUUCUCAAAAACCUUCAAAUUUCUAUCUUUAGCCAAAUGGCUUCAAAAUUACCUACAGACCUCGGAAUUCACUUCCGAUCACGCUCCCAACUCCAGAAUCACCAUGCAGAGCUAAUUUCAGUCUCGGAAUCCCAAAAGGACAUCGAUACUGAAAUGCACUUUAAGCCAAACUUAAGAAAUUUCUUCCAAAAUGCUAACUUCUACAAUAGGCACCAACAUGCUCCCGCGUCAUCGAAAACCCAAUCCGGGCAUACGCUCAAGUUUGAAAUCAUCAUACGAACCUACUAGAACCUUCAGAUCUUUAUUUCGAGGUUAUUUACUCAAAAUUCCAAUCUUAGCCAUUUUCUCUAACUUUAGGCUUCUGAAAGAAGAAUUUUCAUUUAAAUUUAACUAUGAUCUUCCUGAAUUUCAAUUCUGACCAUGCGUACAAGUCAUAACACCUGAAAUGAAGCUACUCAUGGAAUCAAACUGUUGAACAACUUGCUAGGUCUCAAAACAACCGGUCGGGUGGUUACAUCCCGUUUUCCAGUCCUGCACAACAACAGAGUUAGAAAAAAAAUGUAGAACAAUUAAGACUUUUGGUUAAUUUACUAUGGAAAUCAAAUUGAAUGGGCAUUCUGAAAAAAAAUAAAACUGAUUUUAUAGAGAUGGAGGGAAGAAGUUGCACUUCUCCUAUUCCUGUUACUGCAGUUCCCGAGCCAUAGGCAAGGGUAACCGCGAAGAGGGUUGAGAAAGGAAUAAGGUUUGAAAAAAGAUUUUGAUUAUCCGAGAUAUGGUCAGAUGCGCCCGAAUACAGUAUCCAUGAGCAAUUGGGUGAAGACCUGCUCAGACAAACAAAUCAAUUACUAGUUUUUGAUGUGCCACAUGAGAGUGAUUGUUGUUUAGCUGAUUGAUACUACAGGUAACCACUAUAAUCCACUCCAGAUAAAUUAAUAAAAUCAGCAUGUUGAUCAUCUGUUUCACCACCAUUUUGAACCAUGUGGGCUGUACUGCAUUUUUUCGAUGUAAUGGUCGACCAUGUAGUUUCCAACAAGUUUGUUGAGUAUGGCCUGGCUUGUCGCAGUAACUGCAGUAGGGUCUUGUGCUUUUACCUUUUCCUCUUUGAGAGACAUUUUGUUAUUAUGGAUUUUCAUUUUGAAAAGCUUAUACAGAUGUCUCUACUUUAUUAGUAUCAAGUGUUUCUGUUCCAAUACGCAAUAGUCGAGCUGAAACCUCAACUAAUGAAGGAAUUACAGAGCUUGCUAAGAUCUGAUCCUGUACAUGACUGAGAUCAUAUUGGAGUCCUUUUAGUGCUAAAACCAUAAAAAACUUAUCUCUUUGUUGCUCCUGGGUGGUGACACUUGCAGUAAGUGGCAUGAGUGAGUCAAAUUGAUAUUUCAAGGUAUCUAUUUGUUCUAAAUAACUCGUCACAUCUUGAUUGUUUUGCUGAAGUUGGACUAAAUUUGUAACUACUUUGUAUAUUCGUUGUAUAUCAUUUGUAUAAAACGCUUUAGCUUUCAUCCAAACUUUAUAGCAAGUUUUACAAUAUUCAAACAAGUUGAGUAAUUUAGGAUCCAAAGAGUUCUAUAAAAUAUUAUACAAUUGUGCAUCAAUUCGGGUCCACUUAGUCUUUUCACUAGUGCAAAUUUCACUAGCAUUUUUGACUAAGUGAUCCUCAUAUCCAUGUCCCAUGAACCACAUAUCAACUGAAAAAGACCAUGGUGAUUAAUUAUUACUACCUUGUAAUUUAACGGUAGUAAUAGUGAAAGGAUUCGAAAUUGAAGAGAAAAAUGGUUUGACUUCUUCUGUUGUGGAUGACUCACCUGCCAUUUUGAUGGUCAACUUUGAAACUCUCUAAAGGUCAAAUGAUUAUUUAUCCUUAACAUAUGUAUCAAACAAUGGAUUUAUUUCAUAAAUAUGAUUAUUAAUCCAGAUAAAGGAAAUAAGUAAUCACAUAAUUCUUUCAUAGGAAAGUUUACGAAAUUCCUUUUCAUUAUUAACAAAAUAAUUUCGAGCCAGAGUAAGGCAUAUAACAACUUAAACAAGUUCCCAGACAGCAAUACAAGCAUGCGCAAAUCACACCGAGGCGACAGCCCGAUCCCACAGAAAUAAAUGUGCACUUGCGAGGGUCGACGGCGCGCCUAAAGAUGCAUCUAUUAAUCUGCCGAGCCGUUCGGCCAGUUCCAAAAUAAACACACACAUAUAGAUAAUCAGUAAGGAAGUCAACAUGGAGCAAUUAUCUAAGAAAGACCAAUCUUAUUAAUAAUUUGAGGAAAUGAAGCUUAACUCUUUUUAGAAAUCAAGUUAUUAAUUUAAUAUGAUUCAAGCAAUUCAAUUCAUCAAUGGGUUCCCAAUUAAUUCAAGUAUAACAUGCUUUUAGGUCAUAAACUACCUGGGCAAUGGCAUAAUAGUAGCUACACGCAGACUCUCGUUACCUCGUGUGUGCGUAUCCCCCACAAAUAGAUGUACAUAAUCAAUUUAACUCACGUAUGGGGUAGAUUCCCCUUAACAAAAUUAGAAAGAAGACUCACCUGCUCCGACGAUUCAAAAUCGGCAUUCUACAUUCUUCCGAAGACUUGCACCAGCGCACAAUGCUCCAAAACUAGCCAACGAU